CACUUUAUAAAUUUGUACUUUAUUUUUUUUGAAUGUCGGGCUACUUUUUUAAAAAAAUUUAAUAUUUUAGGUAAAAUUGGUUUGUUUUUAAUAUUGUUGCCCCACAUUGUAAGAUUUAUUUAAUGAACCAGAUUAGUACCUGGGUAAUUAAAAUUUAUUAAAGCAGGAGUAAAGUUAUGUUUAAACUGUAAGAAUAUUGGCAGGUUUUUAAAUUAUCUUUGGAGGUUGAGUAGUAAUUGAGAGUCCUCAUUAGCAACUUUUUUUUUUGUCGCAUGUAUGAUCAUUUAUUUUAUUCUUAAGGGUUGUAAUUUUAAUUUUUUUUUAUAAAAAUAGAUAAGUACUUGGUUUAUAAGAAAGAUUUUAAUUUGACCUACAAUAAAUUAUUUUUUGGACACUUACUUAGCUGUAAGUUGAAAUUGUAAAAGACAGUAAAUUUUUUUUUAUGAAAGGUUGAAGUUUAUUUAAAAAC
rnacentral:rRNA from 1 species